rnacentral:rRNA from 1 species
AGUGAACGCUGGCGGUAGGCCUAACACAUGCAAGUCGAACGGCAGCACAGUAAGAGCUUGCUCUUACGGGUGGCGAGUGGCGGACGGGUGAGGAAUACAUCGGAAUCUACUUUUUCGUGGGGGAUAACGUAGGGAAACUUACGCUAAUACCGCAUACGACCUACGGGUGAAAGCAGGGGAUCUUCGGACCUUGCGCGAUUGAAUGAGCCGAUGUCGGAUUAGCUAGUUGGCGGGGUAAAGGCCCACCAAGGCGACGAUCCGUAGCUGGUCUGAGAGGAUGAUCGGCCGCACGAGAACUGAGACACGGUCCAGACUCCUACGGGAGGCAGCAGUGGGGAAUGUUGGACAAAGGGCGCAAGCCUGAUCCAGCCAUACCGCGUGGGUGAAGAAGGCCUUCGGGUUGUAAAGACCUUUUGUUGGGAAAGAAAAGCAGCAGGUUAAUACCCCGCUGUUCUGACGGUGCCCAAAGAAUAAGCACCGGCUAACUUCGUG